rnacentral:lncRNA from 1 species
UGUUCAACUGAUUGAAUAUUACUAAUUUGCUGUCUCAUUUAGAUCUCAGAAGAGUUUAGUUACAGUUGGAAAAGGAACCAAAUAGAAAAAAACCCAUCAACAAAAAUCUAGAGGGGGAAAAAAAUUAAAGCUGCUCCACAGACAUGAUAUUGCAUAUAAUUGGCAGUUACAGAGAUUUUACACCUUCUUCAGAGCAUCUGGAGCUGACUGCUAUAUGAGACCUGGUAUCGACUGAUGGGAAGGUUGGUGUGUUGCACCCUGGCAAUUCCCAUGAGGCUGUGAAGCCUGGAGUCAUGAGAGUCAUUAGAGCCUUUACUACUUUUGAAAUCAUUCCUGAGGGGGAAGAAGGCCUAGCUAGCGGUGAGUGAGAUAAAACAAAAGUAUGUCCAAGUAAAAUGAGCUGAGCUUUUCUGUAGAAUUAGCUCAGUUUUAAGCAGUGGACACUUUUAGUUCUGUUCCUGUAGUUAAUUUGGCAUCGGCAGUGUGCAGGAACCUGAGAUUUGACAUGUAAUCAGAAUAAGUCUAUCUUGACAGACUUGACAUAAUAAACUACCACAUUCUUGUGGUAUUGCAAAAUAUGUAAAUCAUUUUUAGAGUCUGUUUUAAUUAUAUUCUCUUUUUCUGGUGAAACACUGAUGAGUUAUUAUUCAUAAUGUAAACUGACUCAGCAGUCAAAACAUCUACAUCUAAAAUUCAACAGUCUCAACAUAUUUUAGAGAACACCAAAGGUAAGAUUGAGAAAGUAUGGGAAAAUAUUACCAUUAGCACUCAUGGGCCCUGUCGCCCCUCACUUGUCAAGAAACUUCUGCCAGAAAAGCCCUUUUUUGCUUUCUUCCCUCCAGCCAGAGACCUGCAGGAUUUGCAGCAUGCAGGAAGGGUCGUGCACACUUCAGCCUGAGGAAGAGCCUGAUACUACAAGUUCAUCAUUUUUCAACUUCAGUUUCAGUAUGAAAUGGAUGGAAGCAAAGAUAUUUUUGUAAUACUUGCAGGCCCAUGAACCUCUAAGUUUGAUUGAGAAGUAUGUGGUAUGUUAUUCCACAGAAAAUACAACCAAGUGUCUGACAAAUGAGUGCUUGCGCACAAUUUAUUUAGCUCUUAAUUUCAUAGUUUAGAAGUUGAGGAGCAGGUAUUCAUAUGUAAAACUAUUUUUGAAAAGCCAGAGCCUUUGAAACAAGAGGCUAAAUUUUCAAGCGCUCAGCACCAUCAAGCAGAGCCAUUGCAGCCAGAUGUUAAAAAGUGCCAAAUCCCCAGUGCCAUGAGCUACGUUACAUUCAUGGACACUUGCUUUUAGUGUGGUAAUGGAAGAUGAGCCUGUCUGAAAAUCUGUCUCCAGUGAUGGAAUUGUAAGAAAAAAAGCUUUAACAGAGAAAGAGUUUCAAAUACUACCUUGGAAAGCAUUCAAAAGUCCCUUUUCAACAAAAUCUAUCACUUUUUCAUGAAAACGGCAAUUUCCAGGAGAAGCCCCAGCUCUUCGUAAUUUUCUUCUAUGUUGGCUGGAAAACCCAAAAGCCCAAAUUGUUUUUCAACAAAAACCC